rnacentral:rRNA from 1 species
UACGUAGGGGGCAAGCGUUGUCCGGAUUUAUUGGGCGUAAAGAGCGUGUAGGCGGCUUGACAAGUCCGCUGUGAAAACUCGAGGCUCAACCUCGAGCUGUCGGUGGAAACUGUGUAGCUAGAGUCCGGAAGAGGAGAGUGGAAUUCCAGGUGUAGCGGUGAAAUGCGUAGAUAUUGGGAGGAACACCGGUGGCGAAGGCGGCCCUCUGGACAGGUACUGACGCUGGUGAGCGAAAGCGUGGGGAGCGAACGGG